GGGGCGGGGGAGGGGUGGAGUGGGCGCUUGGUGUGGGGAUUUCACGGUUCCGCGCCGUAGCUAACGCAUUAAGCGCCCCGCCUGGGGAGUACGGCCGCAAGGCUAAAACUACAAAGGAAUUGACGGGGGCCCGCACAAGCGGCGGAGCAUGUUGCUUAAUUCGACGCAACGCGAAGAACCUUACCAAGGUUUGACAUCACCCGUGGACCUGUAGAGAUACAGGGUCAUUUGGUUGGCGGGUGACAGGUGGUGCAUGGCUGUCGUCAGCUCGUGUCGUGAGAUGUUGGGUUAAGUCCCGCAACGAGCGCAACCCUUGUUCCAUGUUGCCAGCACGUAAUGGUGGGGACUCAUGGGAGACUGCCGGGGUCAACUCGGAGGAAGGUGGGGACGACGUCAAGUCAUCAUGCCCCUUAUGUCUUGGGCUGCAAACAUGCUACAAUGGCCGGUACAAUGGGCGUGCGAUACCGUGAGGUGGAGCGAAUCCCUAAAAGCCGGUCUCAGUUCGGAUUGGGGUCUGCAACUCGACCCCAUGAAGGUGGAGUCGCUAGUAAUCGCGGAUCAGCAACGCCGCGGUGAAUACGUUCCCGGGCCUUGUACACACCGCCCGUCACGUCAUGAAAGUCGGCAACACCCGAAACUUGUGGCCUAACCCUUCGGGGAGGGAGUGAGUGAAGGUGGGGCUGGCGAUUGGGACGAAGUCGUACAAAGGGGGAAACCGAGAAUCCCU
rnacentral:rRNA from 1 species